GGUUAAGCGACUAAGCGUACACGGUGGAUGCCCUGGCAGUCAGAGGCGAUGAAGGACGUGCUAAUCUGCGAUAAGCGCCGGUAAGGUGAUAUGAACCGUUAUAACCGGCGAUUUCCGAAUGGGGAAACCCAGUGUGACUCGUCACACUAUCAUUAACUGAAUCCAUAGGUUAAUGAGGCGAACCGGGGGAACUGAAACAUCUAAGUACCCCGAGGAAAAGAAAUCAACCGAGAUUCCCCCAGUAGCGGCGAGCGAACGGGGAGGAGCCCAGAGCCUGAAUCAGCAUGUGUGUUAGUGGAAGCGUCUGGAAAGGCGCGCGAUACAGGGUGACAGCCCCGUACACAAAAGCGCAUGUGCUGUGAGCUCGAUGAGUAGGGCGGGACACGUGGUAUCCUGUCUGAAUAUGGGGGGACCAUCCUCCAAGGCUAAAUACUCCUGACUGACCGAUAGUGAACCAGUACCGUGAGGGAAAGGCGAAAAGAACCCCGGCGAGGGGAGUGAAAAAGAACCUGAAACCGUGUACGUACAAGCAGUGGGAGCACAGGUUUACCUGUGUGACUGCGUACCUUUUGUAUAAUGGGUCAGCGACUUAUAUUCUGUAGCAAGGUUAACCGAAUAGGGGAGCCGGAGGGAAACCGAGUCUUAACCGGGCGUUAAGUUGCAGGGUAUAGACCCGAAACCCGGUGAUCUAGCCAUGGGCAGGUUGAAGGUUGGGUAACACUAACUGGAGGACCGAACCGACUAAUGUUGAAAAAUUAGCGGAUGACCUGUGGCU
rnacentral:rRNA from 1 species